rnacentral:rRNA from 1 species
UUAAGCGACUAAGCGUACACGGUGGAUGCCCUGGCAGUCAGAGGCGAUGAAGGACGUGCUAAUCUGCGAUAAGCGUCGGUAAGGUGAUAUGAACCGUUAUAACCGGCGAUUUCCGAAUGGGGAAACCCAGUGUGUUUCGACACACUAUCAUUAACUGAAUCCAUAGGUUAAUGAGGCGAACCGGGGGAACUGAAACAUCUAAGUACCCCGAGGAAAAGAAAUCAACCGAGAUUCCCCCAGUAGCGGCGAGCGAACGGGGAGGAGCCCAGAGCCUGAAUCAGUGUGUGUGUUAGUGGAAGCGUCUGGAAAGGCGCGCGAUACAGGGUGACAGCCCCGUACACAAAAAUGCACAUGCUGUGAGCUCGAUGAGUAGGGCGGGACACGUGGUAUCCUGUCUGAAUAUGGGGGGACCAUCCUCCAAGGCUAAAUACUCCUGACUGACCGAUAGUGAACCAGUACCGUGAGGGAAAGGCGAAAAGAACCCCGGCGAGGGGAGUGAAAAAGAACCUGAAACCGUGUACGUACAAGCAGUGGGAGCCUCUUUUAUGGGGUGACUGCGUACCUUUUGUAUAAUGGGUCAGCGACUUAUAUUCUGUAGCAAGGUUAACCGAAUAGGGGAGCCGAAGGGAAACCGAGUCUUAACUGGGCGUUAAGUUGCAGGGUAUAGACCCGAAACCCGGUGAUCUAGCCAUGGGCAGGUUGAAGGUUGGGUAACACUAACUGGAGGACCGAACCGACUAAUGUUGAAAAAUUAGCGGAUGACUUGUGGCUGGGGGUGAAAGGCCAAUCAAACCGGGAGAUAGCUGGUUCUCCCCGAAAGCUAUUUAGGUAGCGCCUCGUGAAUUCAUCUCCGGGGGUAGAGCACUGUUUCGGCAAGGGGGUCAUCCCGACUUACCAACCCGAUGCAAACUGCGAAUACCGGAGAAUGUUAUCACGGGAGACACACGGCGGGUGCUAACGUCCGUCGUGAAGAGGGAAACAACCCAGACCGCCAGCUAAGGUCCCAAAGUCAUGGUUAAGUGGGAAACGAUGUGGGAAGGCCCAGACAGCCAGGAUGUUGGCUUAGAAGCAGCCAUCAUUUAAAGAAAGCGUAAUAGCUCACUGGUCGAGUCGGCCUGCGCGGAAGAUGUAACGGGGCUAAACCAUGCACCGAAGCUGCGGCAGCGACACUGUGUGUUGUUGGGUAGGGGAGUGUUCUGUAAGCCUGUGAAGGUGUACUGUGAGGUAUGCUGGAGGUAUCAGAAGUGCGAAUGCUGACAUAAGUAACGAUAAAGCGGGUGAAAAGCCCGCUCGCCGGAAGACCAAGGGUUCCUGUCCAACGUUAAUCGGGGCAGGGUGAGUCGACCCCUAAGGCGAGGCCGAAAGGCGUAGUCGAUGGGAAACAGGUUAAUAUUCCUGUACUUGGUGUUACUGCGAAGGGGGGACGGAGAAGGCUAUGUUGGCCGGGCGACGGUUGUCCCGGUUUAAGCGUGUAGGCUGGUUUUCCAGGCAAAUCCGGAAAAUCAAGGCUGAGGCGUGAUGACGAGGCACUACGGUGCUGAAGCAACAAAUGCCCUGCUUCCAGGAAAAGCCUCUAAGCAUCAGGUAACAUCAAAUCGUACCCCAAACCGACACAGGUGGUCAGGUAGAGAAUACCAAGGCGCUUGAGAGAACUCGGGUGAAGGAACUAGGCAAAAUGGUGCCGUAACUUCGGGAGAAGGCACGCUGAUAUGUAGGUGAAGCGACUUGCUCGUGGAGCUGAAAUCAGUCGAAGAUACCAGCUGGCUGCAACUGUUUAUUAAAAACACAGCACUGUGCAAACACGAAAGUGGACGUAUACGGUGUGACGCCUGCCCGGUGCCGGAAGGUUAAUUGAUGGGGUCAGCGCAAGCGAAGCUCUUGAUCGAAGCCCCGGUAAACGGCGGCCGUAACUAUAACGGUCCUAAGGUAGCGAAAUUCCUUGUCGGGUAAGUUCCGACCUGCACGAAUGGCGUAAUGAUGGCCAGGCUGUCUCCACCCGAGACUCAGUGAAAUUGAACUCGCUGUGAAGAUGCAGUGUACCCGCGGCAAGACGGAAAGACCCCGUGAACCUUUACUAUAGCUUGACACUGAACAUUGAGCCUUGAUGUGUAGGAUAGGUGGGAGGCUUAGAAGUGUGGACGCCAGUCUGCAUGGAGCCGACCUUGAAAUACCACCCUUUAAUGUUUGAUGUUCUAACGUUGACCCGUGAUCCGGGUUGCGGACAGUGUCUGGUGGGUAGUUUGACUGGGGCGGUCUCCUCCUAAAGAGUAACGGAGGAGCACGAAGGUUGGCUAAUCCUGGUCGGACAUCAGGAGGUUAGUGCAAUGGCAUAAGCCAGCUUGACUGCGAGCGUGACGGCGCGAGCAGGUGCGAAAGCAGGUCAUAGUGAUCCGGUGGUUCUGAAUGGAAGGGCCAUCGCUCAACGGAUAAAAGGUACUCCGGGGAUAACAGGCUGAUACCGCCCAAGAGUUCAUAUCGACGGCGGUGUUUGGCACCUCGAUGUCGGCUCAUCACAUCCUGGGGCUGAAGUAGGUCCCAAGGGUAUGGCUGUUCGCCAUUUAAAGUGGUACGCGAGCUGGGUUUAGAACGUCGUGAGACAGUUCGGUCCCUAUCUGCCGUGGGCGCUGGAGAACUGAGGGGGGCUGCUCCUAGUACGAGAGGACCGGAGUGGACGCAUCACUGGUGUUCGGGUUGUCAUGCCAAUGGCACUGCCCGGUAGCUAAAUGCGGAAGAGAUAAGUGCUGAAAGCAUCUAAGUACGAAACUUGCCCCGAGAUGAGUUCUCCCUGACCCUUUAAGGGUCCUGAAGGAACGUUGAAGACGACGACGUUGAUAGGCCGGGUGUGUAAGCGCAGCGAUGCGUUGAGCUAACCGGUACUAAUGAACCGUGAGGCUUAACCUU